CUUCCGUAGGGUGAACCUGCGGAAGGAUCAUUACCGAGUGUAGGGUUCCUAGCGAGCCCAACCUCCCACCCGUGUUUACUGUACCUUAGUUGCUUCGGCGGGUUUUUCAUUCGUGGCCGCCGGGGGCUCUCAGCCCCGGGCCCGCGCCCGCCGGAGACACCACGAACUCUGUCUGAUCUAGUGAAGUCUGAGUUGAUUGUAUCGCAAUCAGUUAAAACUUUCAACAAUGGAUCUCUUGGUUCCGGCAUCGAUGAAGAACGCAGCGAAAUGCGAUAACUAGUGUGAAUUGCAGAAUUCCGUGAAUCAUCGAGUCUUUGAACGCACAUUGCGCCCCCUGGUAUUCCGGGGGGCAUGCCUGUCCGAGCGUCAUUGCUGCCCAUCAAGCACGGCUUGUGUGUUGGGUCGUCGUCCCCUCUCCGGGGGGGACGGGCCCCAAAGGCAGCGGCGGCACCGCGUCCGAUCCUCGAGCGUAUGGGGCUUUGUCACCCGCUCUGUAGGCCCGGCCGGCGCUUGCCGAACGCAAAUCAAUCUUUUUCCAGGUUGACCUCGGAUCAGGUAGGGAUUCCCGAGCUGAACUUAAGCAUAUCAAUAAGCGGAGGAA
rnacentral:rRNA from 1 species